rnacentral:tRNA from 2 species
GGGGAUGUGGCGCAAUGGAUAACGCGCCUGACUACGGAUCAGGAGAUUCUAGGUUCGAAUCCUAGCAUCCUCG